GGGGAUGAUCGGCCUAGACAGGAGACAGUUACUUAUUUGUGCAACGUGGAGCAGCGUUAACUCCUAAAUCUGACGCAAACCCUAAGUGCUAAAAACACUGGAAAAAGUAUCGCUUCACCUUACGUGAGCAAUACUCUCGCAUUCGCGUAAGUUUUUAAACUUCGUCAAUGCGACAUCAAUCACGCUUCUGGUAGACAGGCGUGGACCUGAUGUUAUACCGUCUACAUGCUCUAUCCUCCCUUUCCAUAGGAUAGUUAAGAUAAGGAAAUCGGUUGUGCGGGGAUUUUGUUUGUCUCUCACCCACACAACUUAAACUUGGCUUCGGCCAGGGAAGACAUCCUACACGUUGUAGACUCAUCUAAGUCCUUCUCUUGCACGGCGGUUCGAUUCCGCCCAUCUCCACAC
rnacentral:tmRNA from 1 species